AACGCGAAGAACCUUACCCGCCCUUGACAUAGUAGAAACUUUCCAGAGAUGGAAAGGUGCCUUCGGGAAUCCACAACCCGGGGUGCCGGGCGUCGUCAACUUGUGUUGAGAUGUGGGGUUAGUCCCGCAAAGAGCGCACCCCUUUCCUUUAUUUCCAUCAUUUAGAUGGGCACUUUAAGGAGACUGCCGGUGACAAACCGGAGGAAGGGGGGGAUGACGUCAAGUCAUCAUGGCCCUUAUGGCCAGGGCUACACACGUCAUACAAUGGUCGGUACAAAGGGUUGCCACCCAGCGAGGGGAGCCAAUCCCAAAAAGCCGAUCGUAGUCCGGAUCGCAGUCUGCAACUCGACUGCGUGAAGUCGGAAUCGCUAGUAAUCCCGAAUCACAAUGCCGCGGUGAAUACCUUCCCGGGUCUUGUACACACCG
rnacentral:rRNA from 1 species